AUUUGCAUAUUAGCCUUUUAUUAUAUAAGAUUGGAACGAUACAGAGAAGAUUAGCAUGGUCCCUGCGCAAGGAUGACACACAAAUUCAUGAAGCACUCCCCUCUCCC
ensembl:snRNA U6 U6 spliceosomal RNA